UGGACCUCAGAUCAGGCAAGAUUACCCGCUGAGUUUAAGCAUAUCACU
rnacentral:rRNA from 2 species